rnacentral:misc_RNA from 1 species
GAAAAACAUAUGUAUAAAUUUGGUUCUCGGUUCAAUACGAUUUGGUUCGGUUCUAGUUUGGUUAUUAGUGAAAAACUAAAAUCGAACUAAAGUAUCAAAAUAACUUCAAUUCGAUACAGUUCCUAUUAGUUUUGUAUGGUUCUUUGUUUCGGUUCGAUAUGGUUCUUCAUUUCGGUUCGGAAUCCCUGAGAAUCGUGCAUAGCUCUAAGUUACCACAUUUCUUAUUUAGACUGUUCGAUAGUAUAAUAUUUAUAAUGUUUAAAGAUUGAGGGAACAAUUUAUAAAAAGUUACUCCUAUUCUUAGAAGUUGAAAAAACAUUUUGAUCAGGAUCAAUAAGAUAAUAUAACUAUCUAAUCGAACAUUUAUUUUUAUUAAAUAAUUGUACUUUAAAUCACUAUAUAAACAGCUAACCACUAACUAAUAACAGAUAAUAGCUAAUAACAGCUAGAAUAGCUAAUAGCUAUUAAAAUGGCUAAUAUUAUCAAAUAGAGCCUAAGUUAAACUUAAUCAACGACUCUAUGAUUUAUAGAAUUUAUUAUUUGAUAUUAUUCUUAUUUUCAGGUGAUCUAGGGCAAACAGAAUG